AGUGGACGCUGGCGGUAGGCCUAACACAUGCAAGUCGAACGGCAGCACAGUAAGAGCUUGCUCUUACGGGUGGCGAGUGGCGGACGGGUGAGGAAUACAUCGGAAUCUACUUUUUCGUGGGGGAUAACGUAGGGAAACUUACGCUAAUACCGCAUACGACCUACGGGUGAAAGCAGGGGAUCUUCGGACCUUGCGCGAUUGAAUGAGCCGAUGUCGGAUUAGCUAGUUGGCGGGGUAAAGGCCCACCAAGGCGACGAUCCGUAGCUGGUCUGAGAGGAUGAUCAGCCACACUGGAACUGAGACACGGUCCAGACUCCUACGGGAGGCAGCAGUGGGGAAUAUUGGACAAUGGGCGCAAGCCUGAUCCAGCCAUACCGCGUGUGUGAAGAAGGCCUUCGGGUUGUAAAGCCCUUUUGUUGGGAAAGAAAAGCAGCAGGUUAAUACCCCGCUGUUCUGACGGUACCCAAAGAAUAAGCACCGGCUAACUUCGUG
rnacentral:rRNA from 1 species